rnacentral:rRNA from 1 species
GACAGAGGUGCCGAGCGUUAGGCGGAAUCACUGGGCUUAAAGCGUGUGUAGGCGGAUGCCUAAGUACCUUGUGAAAUCCCACGGCUCAACCGUGGAACUGCUUGGUAUACUGGGUGUCUUGGGCCAUCUAGGGGCGAGCGGAACAAACGGUGGAGCGGUGAAAUGCGUAGAUAUCGUUUGGAACGCCAAUGGUGAAAACAGCUCGCUGGGGAUGUGCCGACGCUGAGACACGAAAGCCAGGGGAGCGAACGGG